rnacentral:rRNA from 1 species
AUGAACCCACUGCCAAUCAAACCCUAUGCAGAUUCUUUGCUGCUCUGUUUUCUACUCUACUUCUUGUUGCUCAUGCUAACUAAUGCUGCUGAUACAGGCAGUCCUCUCUGGCGACACGGGCCGCCGGAGAAGCCGGUGCUCUGCAAUGCGUGUGGGACGAGAUGGAGGAAAAAGGGUACACUGGAGAACUACACACCAGCACCACAAGUGCAAAGGAAACAAACCGUUCGCAGAACAGUGAAGAAAGAACCAUCUUCUGAUAACAACUUGGGGAAGACAGGGGAUGCUGCUGACACUUUUAGCAAUCCAUCUGGUUUCGGAUCAGCGCUAUCCUAUUCAGGUUCAGCGCAAUCACAUGCUCGGGAGCCACUGGUACCAUCAAGAAAAAAGAGUUGUGUCGGUCGUCGUCGUAAGCCGUCAACGGUGGAAGCGCUUGCGGAGGAUCUCAACUCCAUAAUGCACGAAGAGCAGUUAUGUUCUGGUUCAGGGCUUGGUACCAUUCCAGGAUCCUCAGACGAAGACCUACUGAUUUAUCAUAGCGAGACUCCUGCUAGCUGCUUUGAGAUUGGUUAUGGAAGCAUGCUUCUUAGACAUCCAAACUCAGAAUCAGAAGCAAAUUCUGUUCCUGCACAUAACAAGAAAGUAGGAGGAAGAGGAAACGCCGGUGGUGCUUUCAGAGGCCUUACCAAGUCCACUAUGAGGUCUCUCAAAAGACUUUAUGAAAGCCAGCCUCAAAUCUUCACAGAUGCAGAAGUGAGAGGAGGAACCAUGCACAAGCCUUCUUUUCAGUUCAGAAUGCCGAAAUCUGGUAAUGCUACUGGAGGAGUAGCUGCAGCAGCAUUUAACCUGUUCAUGUUACCCCCAGACAAAUUAUCAUCCAUGCUGGUCCCUCCUGAAAAGGGUGGUGAUCAAGACUCGCUGCUGCUGGAGGUUCCUCGCAAUGCGCUGCACCCGGAGGCAGAGCUUCUUCUCAGCUGCCCCCCAUCAUGCCGAUAA